UGUAACCUGGGACUGCUGUCAUAUAAGACAGAGUGUCUACCAUACUGAAGAAUGAGAGGCCAUCAGUUACCACUAACUUCCAGAAAUGUGAAUAAAGCCAUUAUCAUCCUAUCAGUUGAGUGAACCCAGGAAAAACGAACAGAUGAAGUACCUGGCCAACUCAGGGAACAUGAACAAUGACAUAUUUUGUUGUUGUGUCUUUCUUUGUUUGAAGCCAUUAAUCUGGGAUGGGUUGAUGCACAGCACAGGGUUCUGGAGGCCUUUAGUUCUUACCCUGCUCCCCUUCAUCAACUUGCAAAGGCCAUUUCAACAAGACUCAAAUUUGAGAAAGUGAAAGAAAUUAAAGAGAGAAUUGUCUGAAGUGAGAAAAAAUACAGAGAGAUGAUUCAGCCUUAUUUUCCUAGCUGGCUUGGACCUAGACGACUCCUCGACAAACACAG